rnacentral:rRNA from 1 species
GAUGAACGCUGGCGGCGUGCCUAAUACAUGCAAGUCGAGCGAAUGGAUUAAGAGCUUGCUCUUAUGAAGUUAGCGGCGGACGGGUGAGUAACACGUGGGUAACCUGCCCAUAAGACUGGGAUAACUCCGGGAAACCGGGGCUACUCCCGGAUAACAUUUUGAACCGCAUGGUUCGAAAUUUAAAGGCGGCUUAGGCUUUCACUUAUGGAGGGACCCGCGUCGCAUUAGCUAGUUGGUGAGGUAACGGCUCACAAAGGCAACGAUGCGUAGCCGACCUGAGAGGGUGAUCGGCCACACUGGGACUGAGACACGGCCCAGACUCCUACGGGAGGCAGCAGUAGGGAAUCUUCCGCAAUGGACGAAAGUCUGACGGAGCAACGCCGCGUGAGUGAUGAAGGCUUUCGGGUCGUAAAACUCUGUUGUUAGGGAAGAACAAGUGCUAGUUGAAUAAGCUGGCACCUUGACGGUACCUAACCAGAAAGCCACGGCUAACUACGUGCCAGCAGCCGCCGUAA